rnacentral:rRNA from 1 species
UACAGAGGUCUCAAGCGUUUGUUCGGAUUCAUUGGGCGUAAGGUGCGUAGGCGGCGCGGUAAGUCGGGUGUGAAAUCUCGGAGCCUUAACUCCGAAACUGCAUUCGAUACUGCCGUGCUUGAGGACUGGAGAGGAGACUGGAAAUUUACGGUGUAGCGGUGAAAUGCGUAGAUAUCGAGAGGAACACCUGCGGCGAAGCGGGUGCUGGGCCGAACACUGACGUGGAUGCGCGAAAGCCCGGGGAGCGAAACGGG